rnacentral:rRNA from 1 species
AUUGAACGCUGGCGGCAUGCCUUACACAUGCAAGUCGAACGGCAGCACGGGUGCUUGCACCUGGUGGCGAGUGGCGAACGGGUGAGUAAUACAUCGGAACGUACCUUAUCGUGGGGGAUAACGCAGCGAAAGCUGUGCUAAUACUGCAUACGCCCUGAGGGGGAAAGCGGGGGAUCGAAAGACCUCGCGCGAUUAGAGCGGCCGAUGCCUGAUUAGCUUGUUGGUGGGGUAAAAGCCCACCAAGGCGACGAUCAGUAGCUGGUCUGAGAGGACGGUCAGCUACACUGGGACUGAGACACGGCGCAGAAUCCUACGGGAGGCAGCAGUGGGGAAUUUUGGACAAUGGGGGCAACCCUGAUCCAGCAAUGCCGCGUGAGUGAAGAAGGCCUUCGGGUUGUAAAGCUCUUUUGUCAGGGAAGAAACACCGGCUCUAACACAGUCCGGGAAUGACGGUACCUGAAGAAUAAGCACCGGCUAACUACGUGCCAGCCGCCGCCGUAA